UACGAGGGGAGCAAGCGUUGUUCGGAAUUACUGGGCGUAAAGCGUGCGCAGGCGGUCUGUUAAGACCGAUGUGAAAUCCCCGGGCUUAACCUGGGAACUGCAUUGGUGACUGGCAGGCUUUGAGUGUGGCAGAGGGAGGUAGAAUUCCACGUGUAGCAGUGAAAUGCGUAGAGAUGUGGAGGAAUACCGAUGGCGAAGGCAGCCUCCUGGGCCAACACUGACGCUCAUGCACGAAAGCGUGGGGAGCAAACAGG
rnacentral:rRNA from 1 species